rnacentral:misc_RNA from 1 species
GAUGAAGAACGCAGCGAAAUGCGAUAAGUAAUGUGAAUUGCAGAAUUCAGUGAAUCAUCGAAUCUUUGAACGCACAUUGCGCCCCUUGGUAUUCCGGGGGGCAUGCCUGUUCGAGCGUCAUUUCAACCCUCAAGCUCUGCUUGGUAUUGGGCACCGUCCUUUGCGGGCGCGCCUCAAAGACCUCGGCGGUGGCGUCUUGCCUCAAGCGUAGUAGAAUACACCUCGCUUCGGAGCGUAAGGCGUCGCCCGCCGGACGAACCUUCUGAACUUUUCUCAAGGUUGACAUCGGAUCAGGUAGGGAUACCCGCUGAACUUAAGCAUAUCAAUAAGCGGAGGA